rnacentral:SRP_RNA from 1 species
AGCCGGGGAGUCAGCGGUGCCCUGUACCUGCAAUCCGCUACAGCAGGGGUGAUACGGAACAGAGGGUCUUUUCUUGCGGAGCUGCCCUCUAUAAGUGGCGUUGACGUCCGGGUCUUACGCAACAGAACUCUGUGAACCGUGUCAGGGCAGGAAUGCAGCAGCACUAAGCGGAACCUUCUGUGUGCCGUAAGGCAGCCUGGGCCGAGUUAACUGUAGAGGUAACGUCCGUGAGGAGGAUUCGACGGGAAGUGCGCG